GAUGAAGAACGCAGUGAAAUGCGAUAAGUAAUGUGAAUUGCAGAAUUCAGUGAAUCAUCGAAUCUUUGAACGCACAUUGCGCCCGGUAGUAUUCUGCCGGGCAUGCCUGUUCGAGCGUCAUUUCAACCAUCAAGCCCCAGCGCUUGUGUUGGGGGCCUGCGGCUGCCGCAGCCCCCCAAAAGCAGUGGCGGGCUCGCUAUCACACCGAGUGCAGUAGUUCAUCUUCUCUCCGGUCUUGUGAGGCGGGUUCCGGCCGUGAAACACCCCACUACAUUCAAGGUUGACCUCGGAUCAGGUAGGAAUACCCGCUGAACUUAAGCAUAUCAAUAAGCGGAGGA
rnacentral:misc_RNA from 1 species